rnacentral:rRNA from 1 species
UGUUGACGGUACUGUACGAAUAAGGAUCGGCUAACUCCGUGCCAGCAGCCGCGGUAAUACGGAGGAUCCGAGCGUUAUCCGGAAUUAUUGGGUUUAAAGGGUCCGUAGGCGGGAUAAUAAGUCAGUGGUGAAAGUUUGUGGCUCAACCAUAAAAUUGCCAUUGAUACUGUUAUUCUUGAGUUAUUGUGAAGUGGUUAGAAUGUGUAGUGUAGCGGUGAAAUGCAUAGAUAUCACACAGAAUACCAAUAGCCAAGGCAGAUCAUUAACAAUACACUNACNCNCAUGGACNAAAAGCGUANGUUNCCAACAGGAAAUAGCAUACCCUGNNANUCUACGCGAGUAAUAUAUGGUAACUANNCUNUCNGGUCUCUAAUUCAACAAAAAAGUGGCUAAGCGAAAGUGAUAAGUAACCCACCUGGGGAGUACUUUCGCAAGAA